GUGAAAUUGACGAACAGCGUAAUCUGGUCAAAUUUAGAGGCAUUGGGUAUCAAAUUGAUCAAAUAGAUGAAAUUGAAACCUCUGGUCCAUUUCGAUGAAGUAAAGACACACCAUCGGAGGACGGAGGCGAUCCUUUGCUUCCAUUGUGUUUUCUUGAGUCUUGCAGCGAAGUGAAAAAUGGUGGGCGAGCACUUUGCUCCAGAGGGCUUCGAAUUCAAACAAAUCCCCAAAACCCAUUUGAAGGAAUGCUCCAUGGUCGCCAUCAGAGACUCUCCUCUCUCAUCCUACAAUGACUGCUCUGUCUUCCCUCCAAUCAACCACGAAAAUCUCCACCUUCCAUCACAACCCAAUAAACAACACUCUGACCCAUUAUCGCCAUCGCCAUCUUCUCCAUCACUAUCAUCUUCUUCGUCAUCGUCGCUGUCCUCUUUUUCACCUUCCGAUUCCGAUGAAUCAGGCCCGGUUUCACCGUUAUCGUCAGGUAGGCAGGUCCGGAAACCUGGUCAAGGCACCACCUGGAUAGGAAUUCGGGUUGAAGUAGUGCGUUCGAAGCUUUUUGCCAUGGCUUCCUCAUUUGGGUUCGAUAAAGUUUGGUGCUUUGCCUCUGGCGCGGGCAUGGCGGCUGGGGUGUUCAUAUUGUUGUCCUUGUACUUGCGCGCUCGGCAAAGGCGGUAUCGGAAUCAUUUGAAAUUGAUUGUGAAAGAGAAAGAUGAGGUUAGCUGAUCAUCCAUGUUCUUGUGUGAAAUUUUAUUGACUUUUGUGUGUUCGUAGAAAUUUGAUUUGCCCAACAAUGAAAAAGCUGAUAACUAUAUUUUCAAUAUAGUCUCCUUAUUGUUGAUUUGGUGCAUUUGCAGAAAAUUAAUAAACUCCUGCACCAAAUUGCUCAGAUGAACGAAGUUCUGGUAGCUCGGCAUAGAGUUCUGGCUUCAAAACUGGCUAAUUGACUUAAAGAAAUACAACAUCAUUAGCUGCUGAAUUGGUGAAAUUAGGAAGGCCAGUACAAUAACAGAGCUGAAAACAUUGGGGGGUUUGCAAAUUGCAAUAGCAAGCUAAUGCUCCAGUCAUCUCUAAGGAGAGAGGAUCCCAAUCUCCCCAAUCUCAAGUUGCAAUGGCACAAGUUUGAGCUCUGCUAACAAAUUUUAGCGGACAGAGUAAGGAACCAGCAGGUCUGGCACCCAAGCUCUAGAGUUAGAUGCACAAUGUUCCUGGUUUUUGUGACCCAGUUUAAAUAUAUUAGCUUUUGUAUAUAUUUGGUUUGGUCUCUUUAUGUGCGUAUGUGUUGACAGAUUUUAGAAUUAAUUAAAGUUCGAGCUCGUGAGUUAGCAACAAUUCUAUGCAGUAUAAUUUUCCUGGAAAGAGCAUUGUGUUUGCGUUUGACAGCGGAAAAAAAGUCA
rnacentral:lncRNA from 1 species